UACGGGGGGGGCAAGCGUUGUUCGGAAUUACUGGGCGUAAAGGGCUCGUAGGUGGCCAACUAAGUCAGACGUGAAAUCCCUCAGCUUAACUGGGGAACUGCGUCUGAUACUGGAUGGCUUGGAUCCGGAAGAGGGAUGCGGAAUUCCAGGUGUAGCGGUGAAAUGCGUAGAUAUCUGGAGGAACACCGGUGGCGAAGGCGGCAUCCUGGGCCGGUAUUGACGCUGAGGAGCGAAAGCCAGGGGAGCAAACGGG
rnacentral:rRNA from 1 species